UGGGUGCGUCCGCUUUGUGUGUGGCUUCUGGAGGGAAAACGCCGGAGAGGCGGAGAUCGAGCCGGGAACGUGCAACAGCUCCCAGGAUCAAUUAGACCGAGGAAUUUCACCCUCGAUCCUCCAAUUUCACAUGGACAAGAUACCUCCCUGUUCCUGUGCCACCUCUUCUGUUCCCAGUGUGUUUGCUUCCUCUCCCAAGACUACUUGAUUUCAAAUAGACCAGAGCUCAUACAGAACUUGGGAAAUGGAUGCUGCUCAUCUCCAGGGAGUUCAGCAGAUGUGAAGAUAAAGAGUGGCUGCUCAAGGGGCACCUUGCCCUCUUUAGAGUGCAAGAGGCCAGCAGAGGUGGGGAGCAUGGAGGGUGGCCCAUCAGCAGCUUGAGCACUAGUCCCUGUUCCACGGGUCUUGGCUAUGUGACCUCAGAGAAGUCAUACCAUGCCCUCUUUGAGCCUCCUUUUCUUUAUCUGUGAAAUGAGACUAAUAAGCAGCUCAGCUUAAAAGACAUAAUAGCCUAAAAGUGCUUUGUAAAGUGGAAAAGUUUGAUGCAAAAGGUGAUUAUGCUUAUGGUGAUUAUGCUUAUGAUGAUACAGAUCUAAGUGGGUAGCUUCGUUACUGAGGGUGGGACCAGCCUCUCUCUGCCCCUGGGAAAAAGAACCAGAGGGAACACAGGUAUCAGGUGUAUGCAGGGGAGUUAAAAGGAGUGAGUUUUGGGAAGCCAGGUGACUAGACCCUGGAAUAAUACACUAUAGGAAGGACACUUCUGGACUGGGGACACCCAGGCUACUUCUACUUUAUGAGAUUCCUGUUACAUUAAUAAAUAUCAA